AAGCCAGCCGAUUAAUCUGCUUACCUGAAUGUGUUCCUGCAGAAACUGAGAAAACGCUGGCAAUACGAAUGCCAUGGUACAAGCCUUAAAGACCCUGAAGUCCUUAAGGUCCCUGAAAAUGGCUAUAAGA